rnacentral:rRNA from 1 species
GACGAACGCUGGCGGCGUGCCUAAUACAUGCAAGUUGAGCGCUGAAGGUUGGUACUUGUACCAACUGGAUGAGCAGCGAACGGGUGAGUAACGCGUGGGGAAUCUGCCUUUGAGCGGGGGACAACAUUUGGAAACGAAUGCUAAUACCGCAUAAAAACUUUAAACACAAGUUUUAAGUUUGAAAGAUGCAAUUGCAUCACUCAAAGAUGAUCCCGCGUUGUAUUAGCUAGUUGGUGAGGUAAAGGCUCACAAAGGCGAUGAUACAUAGCCGACCUGAGAGGGUGAUCGGCCACAUUGGGACUGAGACACGGCCCAAACUCCUACGGGAGACAGCAGUAGGGAAUCUUCGGCAAUGGAAGAAAGUCUGACCGAGCAACGCCGCGUGAGUGAAGAAGGUUUUCGGAUCGUAAAACUCUGUUGGUAGAGAAGAACGUUGGUGAGAGUGGAAAGCUCAUCAAGUGACGGUAACUACCCAGAAGGGGACGGCUAACUACGUG